rnacentral:rRNA from 1 species
CAGCCGUAAACUAUGCGCGUUAGGUGUAUCGGUGACCACGAGUUACCGAGGUGCCGAAGGGAAACCGUGAAACGUGCCGCCUGGGAAGUACGGUCGCAAGGCUGAAACUUAAAGGAAUUGGCGGGGGAGCACCACAACAGGUGGAACCUGCGGUUUAAUUGGACUCAACGCCGGGAAGCUCACCGGAUAAGACAGCGGAAUGAUUGCCGGGCUGAAGACUCUGCAUGACUAGCUGAGAGGAGGUGCAUGGCGUAGACGUCU